UUAUUUGUUUCACAAUUGCAAGUGUACCCUCAGUCCCCGGAUAGAACGAUCCCUAUUUGCUUAUACUACUAACGAUAUUUUCAGGGUUAAAUUAUGCGCUUGCUUUGAGCGCAUCAACGAUCUACGACCACAGGGACAUCGGCGCCAUUGAGACGAAGCUAUUGGUGGCCACGCGCCGUCAUGGGGUGGCCGGACGUGGAAGUUCCGGUCGGUCGCUGGCCGGUUCUCGCUGUGUCUGGGUCAGAGAGCAAGCUCUCUCUCUCUCUCUCUCUCGAAUUCUCCUAGGUCUUCCAUUGUUCACAAACUGAUAUAGAUAUGUCCAAUUAAUGAUGGAAGGCUAGGAUCAAGCGGUGAAGACGGUGGAUUUAAGGAUGGCUAGGAUUGCACCAUAGCAAAUUUCUAUUUCUCUAAAUUAUUUUCUAAAAUUUCACCACUUCGGAAAAUCGCUAUAAAUAGCUCGGGUGUCCGGAAAAUUCCCCAAAAAUUCCCACGAACUCGUCGUGUCAUAUACUUUAUCCAACUCCUAGAUUGAGGAUUUCACUUUAUGAAAAUUUCUGAAAAUUUCCUCGAGCAUCUUGACAUUUAUCGAGAUCGUUGAAUAAUUUCACAUACGAUCUCCAUUAAGCUCGAUACAUUUUUCCGGGGCUCACAGAUGCUCUGAUGGAUAACUGGACAAGUUCAUUUAGUUAUGAACUUAUGAUUUAUGAAUUAAUGAAUUAUGACCUUUUGUGGUUUUCUUUCUUUGUUUUGUUUUGUUUUGUUUUUCAUUUCUAAUGAGAUGGACUGAAUAUUAGUUCCAACUAGUAUUGUAGUUUUCUCCCUGUUGGGGCCUCAUGAUUAUGGUUUAAUUUUGCAGAUGCUUCAAGGCUUUCCAAAGAGCGAAACAUAAGCAUGAGGCAUUAAAGGGGCAGCUUGAAACUUAUUUCCAGGUACCUGUAGACUCUUCCUUUCUUUCUGGGCAACUAUACGUUGUGUUUGAUUAAUUAAAUAACUCUUGGAGCUAUUUUUCUUUCAUAUAUUUGUAGUUGAGAAGACAAGUUGGAAUGGCACAAAGGUCUUGAAUGCCACAUAGAUUGGCGAUUGCAUGAGGUGCCCAUAUAAUAGGGAAAAACUAGUUGAGAACUAUGUAUUUUGUCAAUCUCAUGAACUCCUAGCUACGUAAUAUUUGUUUUACUAUAGAAGGCAACCUAUUCAAGUUUAGCUGCUGCAAUAUGCAGAUACUGAGUUUUGGUUAGCCAUAUAUAUAGAAGUAAUAUUGUUCGAAAAAUCUACUUCCUAGAUUUACCAAUAAUGCAAUAUUUACUCCUCUGUGAGAUAUACUGCAAUAUGCAUGUAUUAUGAUAUAAAGGCCUUCUUCUUGGAAUAAAUAAACUUGCAGCUGUGUUGUUGUCAUUUAAUUGCCCUUGUGUGUAGCAUGUAAUUCUUAACUUCCUGAUCUAAUGAUAGCAAGGGAGGUCAUGAGAGGUUGGAUGUGAUAGAACUUUGUACAUACUAAACUUUCUAGUAGGGUAUUGAUCGACUUGAAGGGUAGAGGAAUCAGCCUAUUUAGAAUCUGUUAAAGCUUUUGAAUUGUUAGCUAAUUGGUUAAGUUUGGUGUUUGAUGACAUGGCUUUGGGAGUUAUUUGACAUUGCCACAAAGAAAGUCUCUUCCUAAUAUGCGCUGUGACAUUGCCAAGUUUCUUGACAUUGGCUAGGAAGCUAAAGCUCAGAUUCAGAGUGCAAGUGCUUAUGAUUCGUUAGUUGGCGUGUUCUAUUCCAAGCCUUUUGACACCAAGGUGGACUGGAGCUUUGUUGCUAAGGCUUCUCCCUGUUAUGUGACUUAUCUAAAGGAUGCAAUUGAUCAAAUCAUUAAGUUUUUUCGAAGUAAUACAGUUAGUCAGAAGAUACUAUGGAUACUGCAGCUGCUGUGCAGGUUCUUACUGAAUGUUGAUAUAAAAAGCAAAUCUGCAUUGUUAGCUGAGAGUUUGGAGUAUCAUGGUGACUUUCAGUUUCCAUUAGCAUGUAUUGCUUAAAUGUUGAAUGUCAAUCUUACUUUCCAAGCUGAAAUGUGGUGAUUUUUCUUCAAUUAGUAUUCCAUACGUCAAGGACAGCAUUUCAAAAUAGGCCUGAUUGUUUU